AUGGACGACUUUUAUGGGCAUGAUGGAAAAACGGCUUACAUUUUUACUUCUGACCAUGGCAUGACAAAUUGGGGAUCUCAUGGUGCGGGACACCCAUCAGAGACGCUGACCCCACUGGUAGCAUGGGGCGCUGGGGUUCAGACAGCACAACGGGAGGGCUCUCACAAAUAUGAUGAUAAUUAUUUAAAAGAAUGGGGGUUGGAAACAUCCAUGAGAGUGGAUGUCAAUCAGGUGAGAUU